GCAGCCUCCCGGGCCUGUGGGUACAAGAUAUUCAAAGAACACUUUAGAAAGAACACAUUCCAUGAAAAGUAAAGCUGCUCAAAAGUACAUGUCUAUUGAUAUGUUCAAUUUUCCUGAUAAUUCUGAUAUCUCAAGCAUUGGCAGUCUAGAUGAAAAUGAGAAAGAUGAAGAACCUUAGGAAGGCUUUCAUCCUCCUUUACACAACACAGCUAUAUAUGCUGAUGAAGAAUUAUUCUCCUGACAUUGUGGAUUAUCUAUCUCUUCAAAUCCCCCAGGAAACAAAGCAAAAAGAAGUUCAGACACUUCUGAAAAUAAAGCAAGUGAAAACAAAUCUGCAAAAAUUAGUGCAAAGCCAGGAAGAAAACACAAGCCCAUUCAUAAUGACUGGGAAAGUACUGAAGAAAGUGAUGUAAGAAGAAAAGCUAAAUCAGCAGACAAAAUGGGUACACAAUGACACGAGGCUAUUCCUCCAACUACAGCAUCUUCAGAACUUUCAGAGAAACCAGCUGAGUUGAUCACUUCUAAAAAGAUAGGACCUCUUAGUGCCCAGCCCUCUGUUGAUAAAGAGAUCUUGGCAACAGAAAUUUAAUUGAAAACUCAGAAAAAAGGAAAGAUGUCUUAUGACAAAAGGAAGAAAUCAAGAAGUAAAGCCAUUGACUCAGAUACUUCCAACAUUGUGCAUAUUUGGUGUCUAUAAGAAAACCAGUAACAUCAUGGAGUUGAAUAUUGUUUUGCCCACAGUUGAGAAAAUCCUCCUAGAGUAUAAACAAAGAAUAGAAUCUAAAAUUUGUAAGAAAGCCAUCAACACAUUUUAUUUUAACAUUAAAAAGAACCCAUCAAAAAGUUUAAAGAAGUCCAGAUGUUGAAAAACUUGAAAAGGAAGAAUGCUAAGAUGAUUUCAGAUAUUGAAAAGGCAACGUUUGAUUGAAGUUUAGGAUGAACUGCUUCCAUUAGAGCCACAGCUGAAACAACUACAAACAAAAUGUGAUAAACUUAAGGAGAGAAAGUCUUCCCUUAGGAAUGCAGCAUAUUUCUUAUCUAAUUUAAAAUGGCUUUAUCAAGAUUAUCAGAUGUUCAGGAGAAAGAAGCAAACAUAAAGGAAACGUAUAAUUCAACCAGCCUUCCAGCUCUGUUAUCUUAACAAUUUUGGGAGCUGAAAAUCACCUGCAAAAUAUCAACCAUCAAUUAGAGAAGCUCCUUGA
rnacentral:lncRNA from 1 species